rnacentral:rRNA from 1 species
GAUGAACGCUAGCGAUAGGCUUAACACAUGCAAGUCGAGGGGCAGCAUGGUCUUAGCUUGCUAAGGCUGAUGGCGACCGACGCACGGGUGCGUAACGCGUAUGCAACUUGCCUCACAGAGGGGGAUAACCCGUCGAAAGACGGACUAAUACCGCGUACACUCUAUGUUGGGCAUCCAAUGUAGAGGAAAUGAAAUUCGCUGUGAGAUAGGCAUGCGUCCCAUUAGCUAGUUGGUGAGGUAACGGCUCACCAAGGCGACGAUGGGUAGGGGAACUGAGAGGUUGAACCCCCACACUGGUACUGAGACACGGACCAGACUCCUACGGGAGGCAGCAGUGAGGAAUAUUGGGCAAUGGGCGAGAGCCUGAACCAGCCAAGUCGCGUGAAGGAUGACUGUCUUAUGGAUUGUAAACUUCUUUUAUACGGGAAUAACAAGAGUCACGUGUGGCUCCCUGCAUGUACCGUAUGAAUAAGCAUCGGCUAACUCCGUG